rnacentral:rRNA from 1 species
GACGAACGCUGGCGGCGUGCUUAACACAUGCAAGUCGAACGGAAAGGCCCCUUUGGGGGUACUCGAGUGGCGAACGGGUGAGUAACACGUGAGUAACCUGCCCUUGACUUCGGGAUAACUUCAGGAAACUGGGGCUAAUACCGGAUAGGAAUCCUUGCUGCAUGGUGGGGGUUGGAAAGCUUCGGCGGUUUUGGAUGGACUCGCGGCUUAUCAGCUUGUUGGUGGGGUAGUGGCUUACCAAGGCUUUGACGGGUAGCCGGCCUGGGAGGGCGACCGGCCACAUUGGGACUGAGAUACGGCCCAGACUCCUACGGGAGGCAGCAGUGGGGAAGAUUGCACAAUGGGCGGAAGCCUGAUGCAGCAACGCCGCGUGCGGGAUGACGGCCUUCGGGUUGUAAACCGCUUUCAGCAGGGGCGAAGCUUGUGGUGACGGUACCUGCAGAAGAAGCACCGGCUAACUACGUG